GAGAUCAUGACCUGAGCCGAAGUCAGACGUUUAGCCGACUGAGCCACCCAGGCACCCCUGAUGGAGCAUAUUUUUAAGUGAGAUUUUAAAUGUUGUGAAACACGCCCUCAUAACAAGAUUCCGAGCAACACGGAAAAAUCAGGGUUCCUCCCUGUGCUCUGUCCUGCCCCAUCCUCCCACCUCCUCCCCUGCUUUUUCUUGUUACUUAGCAGUACGUGUGUAACGUCUGUCCCAAGUCAGGACAUGGAUAAACAGCAGUCCACGGCAAGGGGGCACCGUCCUUCUCGCUCAGUCCCCGCUGGCGGGGUUUCAUCGGGGGCCUGGCCGGGGCCACGCCAGUCUCUCGUGGACGGGAUCCCGUCAGCGGCAGCUGCGCUGGGACCACGGGUCACAGGGGUGCGUUCCGUGCGAAGACCCCGGACAAGAAGCGGUUAACUGCUCUGGAAAGACUCUUCCGUUUGCCUAACUCUGAGAAGUACGCCGUUUCAGACGCGCAGGUUCGCUCAGGUCACGAUGUGUUUCCGAGGCGUGGACACUCGCAGUGUGUGUGCACGCGUGGUCCCCCCCCCCCCACCGGCUGCCCCGUGGGCGCACUCGGGUGACUGCGGUGAGGGUGCCCGCGGGUGAGCCCGCCUGGCUCCCAGCAGGGCCGCAGCACAGCUCCAGGGCGGGCUUUCCGUCUCUGCAGCCCCCUGUUGUUCCAGAACAGCGUGUCGCCCGAAACCACCAGGUGGCAACUCACUUCUGUCUCCUCUUCAGUGAGGUCCUGCCGUCUGGGUGUGAAAUGCAGGUUUUGCUCACCUUUGAAAAACUGUCUUUUCCCCUUUUCCCCCCCCCUUUCCCUCCCACAUUCCCCCCCCCCAGGUACUCCCGUUGCUAUAGCAACCCAGCUUCUGCCAAGUCUUUCUGCUGCUUUUCAUCCCAGCAGCAACAGGUGCUUCUCGGUGCCCCCCUCCCCACCCCCCAGCCUGCUCCACUCAGAUUGGGGAUCCGCUGAAGCCCGGUGCUUUCCAGGAGUCCGUGCUCUGAGGUGAAACGGGGCGUCUGGAGGGCACUCCGUGGGAUACAAGUAAUCCAUCUGUCCAUCAUCUAUCAGGCAUCCACAUCCUGCCUGUCGACCCGCCUCUCCUUGUAUCUCUGUGUCUCACCUCUUUCCAGAGUCCUGUCACAGAGGCUCAGUCCUGAGCACCAUACGCACGGCUCCCAACAGGGUGUUUUCCUUGCACAACAACAGGGCUCUCAGCGCCUGGCAGCUUUGUGCAGCUUCCCCGCUGUCGGGAGACCCUCCGCAGCGGUUUGUGUUCAACCCGGGACUCGGCCGGGGGCCGCAGGGGCCAUGGGUGGGGGGGUUAUAAAACCCAGAUCCCUCACUUGCUGUGGACUUUUCUUCUGCUAUUCACGAAUCGCCAAGUUGUCUGUGUGCGAGAAAAGGCUCGUCUCUGCCGUCAGACCCUCCGCCCUGUCUUUUCAGAUCUUGGAUGACCAUGUGCGAAAAACUGGAGCUUUAUUUGCUUCCAAAACGUUUGCGAUGCUCUCGUGUUUCACUCUGACUGCUUUUCUAAGCACCAGACUCGGUGUUGACAUCAGGUUUUGUGUUUUUGUUUUUUUUUUUUGUAUUGUUUGUUUAUUUUUGAGAGACAGCGCAAGUGUGAGUGGGGGAGGG